GAUUAACGCUGGCGGCGUGCCUAACACAUGCAAGUCGAGCGGCAGCGAGUUUUACACUGACUUCUGGAAGCUUCUAGUUGGAAGAGAAGAUUUAUUCAAGAAUUUUGUGUAAAAUGUCGGCGAGCGGCGGACGGCUGAGUAACGCGUGAGAACGUACCCCAAAGAGAGGGAUAACGCAUCGAAAGGUGUGCUAAUACCUCAUAUGGUCUUCGGAUUAAAGCCUUCGGGCGCUUUGGGAACGGCCUGCGUAAGAUUAGAUAGUUGGUGGGGUAAUGGCCUACCAAGUCGACGAUCUGUAACUGGUCUGAGAGGAUGAUCAGUCAGACUGGAACUGAGACACGGUCCAGACUCCUACGGGAGGCAGCAGUGAGGAAUCUUCCACAAUGGGCGAAAGCCUGAUGGAGCAACGCCGCGUGAAGGAUGAAGGCCUUUGGGUUGUAAACUGCUUUUAUAAGUGAGGAUUAUGACAGUAACUGAUGAAUAAGGAUCGGCUAACUCCGUG
rnacentral:rRNA from 1 species